rnacentral:rRNA from 1 species
GAGGACUUUAUCUUUGGUUUAACCUGCCCAAUGAUUUAUGAAUGGCCGCGGUACUUUGACCGUGCUAAGGUAGCAUAAUCAGUUGGCUUUUAAAUGGAGUCGAGUAUGAAUGGGAGAACCGGGCCUAGCUGUCUCAGUAUUACUAGUUUGAAUUUACUGUUUAAGUGAAAAAGCUUAAAUUUUGAAAAGGGACGAGAAGACCCUUAGAAUUUUGUUUAAAGUGAUUUUAGUCACUAUUAUUUUGUUGGGGCGACAAAGAAAUAAUUAAAACUUUCUUCAACAUAGCCGGUAUUAUCAAGUGGGAAUAAAUUACCUGAGGGAUAACAUAAUUUUAUAGUUAAGUUUAUGACCUCGAUGUUUUUGGGUUAGCUGCUCAAUUUGCGGAUUCUGUUCGAAUUUUAACUCC